CGAGAGGCUUUUCAGGUGCAGACACCUGAAACAAAACCCCAGCCCAGGGCAAGCCGCUGAGGCAGCAGCUCGGUGACUUGGGAGAGACUUUGUGCAAACA